AAAAAUCGUAACAAGGUCUCCGUAGGUGAACCUGCGGAGGGAUCAUUACAAGAACGCCCGGGCUUCGGCCUGGUUAUUCAUAACCCUUUGUUGUCCGACUCUGUUGCCUCCGGGGCGACCCUGCCUUCGGGCGGGGGCUCCGGGUGGACACUUCAAACUCUUGCGUAACUUUGCAGUCUGAGUAAACUUAAUUAAUAAAUUAAAACUUUUAACAACGGAUCUCUUGGUUCUGGCAUCGAUGAAGAACGCAGCGAAAUGCGAUAAGUAAUGUGAAUUGCAAAAUUCAGUGAAUCAUCGAAUCUUUGAACGCACAUUGCGCCCCCUGGUAUUCCGGGGGGCAUGCCUGUUCGAGCGUCAUUUCACCACUCAAGCCUCGCUUGGUAUUGGGCAACGCGGUCCGCCGCGUGCCUCAAAUCGUCCGGCUGGGUCUUCUGUCCCCUAAGCGUUGUGGAAACUAUUCGCUAAAGGGUGUUCGGGAGGCUACGCCGUAAAACAACCCCAUUUCUAAGGUUGACCUCGGAUCAGGUAGGGAUACCCGCUGAACUUAAGCAUAUCAAUAAGCGGAGGAAAAGAAACCAACAGGGAUUGCUCUAGUAACGGCGAGUGAAGCAGCAAUAGCUCAAAUUUGAAAUCUGGCGUCUUCGACGUCCGAGUUGUAAUUUGUAGAGGAUGCUUCUGAGUGGCCACCGACCUAAGUUCCUUGGAACAGGACGUCAUAGAG
rnacentral:rRNA from 1 species